rnacentral:rRNA from 1 species
UACGGAGGGUGCAAGCGUUAUCCGGAUUCACUGGGUUUAAAGGGUGCGUAGGUGGGUUGAUAAGUCAGUGGUGAAAUCCCCGAGCUUAACUUGGGAACUGCCAUUGAUACUAUUGAUCUUGAAUACCGUGGAGGUCAGCGGAAUAUGUCAUGUAGCGGUGAAAUGCUUAGAUAUGACAUAGAACACCAAUUGCGAAGGCAGCUGGCUACGCGAAUAUUGACACUGAUGCACGAAAGCGUGGGGAUCAAACAGGAG